GACGAACGCUGGCGGCGUGCUUAACACAUGCAAGUCGAACGGAAAGGCCCUGCUUUUGUGGGGUGCUCGAGUGGCGAACGGGUGAGUAACACGUGAGUAACCUGCCCUUGACUUUGGGAUAACUUCAGGAAACUGGGGCUAUACCGGAUAGGAGCCCCUGCCUCAUGGUGGGGGGUGGAAAGUUUCGGCGGUUGGGGAUGGGCUCGCGGCUUAUCAGCUUGUUGGUGGGGUAGUGGCUUACCAAGGCUUUGACGGGUAGCCGGCCUGAGAGGGUGACCGGCCACAUUGGGACUGAGAUACGGCCCAGACUCCUACGGGAGGCAGCAGUGGGGAAUAUUGCACAAUGGGCGGAAGCCUGAUGCAGCAACGCCGCGUGCGGGAUGACGGCCUUCGGGUUGUAAACCGCUUUCGCCUGUGACGAAGCGUGAGUGACGGUAAUGGGUAAAGAAGCACCGGCUAACUACGUG
rnacentral:rRNA from 1 species